rnacentral:rRNA from 1 species
GUCUACGGCCACAGCACCCUGAACAAGCCUGAUCCCGUCUGAUCUCGGAAGCUAAGCAGGGUCGGGCCUGGUUAGCACUUGGAUGGGAGACCACCUAGGAAGACCAGCUGCUGUAGGCA